rnacentral:lncRNA from 1 species
CUUAUUAACAGCUUAUCAUUUGAUCGAGAACAGUUUUAAGGACUAAUCGAUAAAUCCUCUCUUUAUCGAACUUAAAUAGUCCUAAGGACUUCAUCAUAACAACGGAGUUCAUUAGAAGAUGAAAGCUUAUGAUGAAGAUGCCAAAUAUAUUUUAUUUAUUAAUAAAUCAAUUACAAUACUUGGUUGCUCAACCGUCAACAGCUUGACGAUUGGCUUUUUGAGAUACAUUUCCCAACAACUCCCACUUGUCCUAAAGCCACUCGGCACAGUAUCUAAUACCCAUCUUCGACUUGUGGUUGUCGAACUCUUUUAUCGCCAGGGCUUUAGUGAAGGGGUCGGCUAGGUUCUCCUUUCCGUCGAUCUUCUGAAGGUCGACGUCACCUCGAUCCACGAUUUCCCGGACCAGGUGGAAGCGACGCAAGAUGUGCUUCGUCCACUGAUGUGCUUUGGGUUCCUUCGCUUGAGCUAUGGCAC